GGCAGCAUGGCGCAGUGGGUUACGCUUUUGUCUAUCAGGCAGAUGGGACCCCUGGGUUCGAACCCCCGCUGGUG